rnacentral:tRNA from 4 species
AAAAAGAUAAGCUAACCAAGCUAUUAGGUUCAUACCCUGGCUAUGAAAGUUUCAACCUUUCUCUUUUUA